GAUGAACGCUGGCGGCGUGCCUAAUACAUGCAAGUCGAGCGAACAGACGAGGAGCUUGCUCCUCUGACGUUAGCGGCGGACGGGUGAGUAACACGUGGAUAACCUACCUAUAAGACUGGGAUAACUUCGGGAAACCGGAGCUAAUACCGGAUAAUAUAUUGAACCGCAUGGUUCAAUAGUGAAAGACGGUUUUGCUGUCACUUAUAGAUGGAUCCGCGCCGCAUUAGCUAGUUGGUAAGGUAACGGCUUACCAAGGCAACGAUGCGUAGCCGACCUGAGAGGGUGAUCGGCCACACUGGAACUGAGACACGGUCCAGACUCCUACGGGAGGCAGCAGUAGGGAAUCUUCCGCAAUGGGCGGAGGCCUGACGGAGCAACGCCGCGUGAGUGAUGAAGGUCUUCGGAUCGUAAAACUCUGUUAUUAGGGAAGAACAAAUGUGUAAGUAACUAUGCACGUCUUGACGGUACCUAAUCAGAAAGCCACGGCUAACUACGUG
rnacentral:rRNA from 1 species